rnacentral:rRNA from 1 species
CCCUUAGAUGUCCUGGGCUGCACGCGCGCUACACUGAUGUGUCCAGUAAGCACCUAACCUCUUCCGACAGGAACGGGUAACCUUUGCAAAGCACAUCGUGAUGGGGAUAGAUUAUUGCAAUUAUUAGUCUUGAACGAGGAAUUCCUAGUAAGCACAAGUCAUCAGCUUGUGUUGAUUACGUCCCUGCCCUUUGUACACACCGCCCGUCGCUCCUACCGAUUGAAUGUUCCGGUGAGCUCUUCGGACUGCGCGGUCUGCAGUUUCUGCGUUCCGUGCGGAAAGUUGCGCAAACCUUAACAUUUAGAGGAAGGAGAAGUCGUAACA